CUGGAUUGCCUGGCCAAUAUCCCUGCUGACACAAGGCACCUUACACUCUGGGAGUACAGAGCCAAGAUAAUAGUUUGUGCUUGGAACAGUGCCAGGAAUGUGG